GGGAACUAAAAUACUUUGGCUCUGGGUGAGGCACAAUUUGCACGGAGUUGGAAGGUGCACCUGUCAGUUGCUUGGUUUACCUAUACCUCAGAGCCCUGUAUCUUCCUGAAGGAGAAAGGGAACUAGUGCUUUGCAAGUGGGUCUCUCAUAAUCACUUAAUUAUGAUUAUUCAGACACAAAAGGAAAUUCUGGAAUUAGCAACCACAGUAAUCAGCAUUCUUCCCAUUUUGAAGAUGAGGACAUGUAGUACACAGCACAGGUAGUAUAUAGCAAAGCCCAAACUCAACAUGUCUGUGUGAUCUUAGCCCUGAGCUAUCAUUUCAAGAGAAGACAUCAAGAACUAAGGCCACAGGCAAGAAACAAAGAAGCUGGGAUUAGCAGCUUGUGACAUCAGAGAACACAGGCAACGUCUCGGAGCUCCACUGCGGCAAUGGAAGGAACUUAGAAGGAGGACAACCAGGCUUUCCCUGCCAUCUGGAGCCUAAAAACUGCCCUAAUCAACUCCUUUGCCCAGCUCGCAACCAGAGGAGAAAUGGAAAUAAUCAGUAAAUGAGAAAUCAGGGUCUAUUUGAGUGUUGAGUGUUUACAACAUGGUGCCAGAUAUUUGGAAAGAAAUAAGUGUGACUGAAGUAUGAAGAGGGGACUCUUUCUUUCACCUAAUAAAUGGUUUAGUGACGACUCAGUCACACCCCAAGGUCACUCUUGAAAUCACAGCCUUAUGAAGUGGCCCACGAGAAUCAGACCAGCUGCUAGUGUCUCCUUCUCUUCCAAAGCUCCCAGAAAGACAGCUGCCCCUUGGAAGAUUUAUUUCUUAAGCCAGGAGUUCUCAGACUUAGCAGUCUAUCUGUGCCACUGUGUUCCACAAAAGAUGGUGAGAAAUACUGUCUCCAUAUUACAGCUAUUUAUUUAUUACUGUGGGUAUAUUACUCCUUUAAUUACUCGAUUUAUGAAAAAAAUUCUUUAA
rnacentral:lncRNA from 1 species